rnacentral:rRNA from 1 species
UGCUAGCUUGCUAAUAAUUCUCUAGUGGCGCACGGGUGAGUAACACGUGAGUAACCUGCCCCCAAGAGUGGGAUAGCCCCGGGAAACUGGGAUUAAUACCGCAUAAAAUCGCAAGAUUAAAGCAGCAAUGCGCUUGGGGAUGGGCUCGCGUCCUAUUAGUUAGUUGGUGAGGUAACGGCUCACCAAGGCGAUGACGGGUAGCCGGUCUGAGAGGAUGUCCGGCCACACUGGAACUGAGACACGGUCCAGACACCUACGGGUGGCAGCAGUCGAGAAUCAUUCACAAUGGGGGAAACCCUGAUGGUGCGACGCCGCGUGGGGGAAUGAAGGUCUUCGGAUUGUAAACCCCUGUCAUGUGGGAGCAAAUUAAAAAGAUAGUACCACAAGAGGAAGAGACGGCUAACUCUGUGCCAGCAGCCGCGGUAAUACAGAGGUCUCAAGCGUUGUUCGGAAUCACUGGGCGUAAAGCGUGCGUAGGCGGUUUCGUAAGUCGUGUGUGAAAGGCGGGGGCUCAACCCCCGGACUGCACAUGAUACUGCGAGACUAGAGUAAUGGAGGGGGAACCGGAAUUCUCGGUGUAGCAGUGAAAUGCGUAGAUAUCGAGAGGAACACUCGUGGCGAAGGCGGGUUCCUGGACAUUAACUGACGCUGAGGCACGAAGGCCAGGGGAGCGAAAGGGAUUAGAUACCCCUGUAGUCCUGGCAG